GAUGAACGCUGGCGGCGUGCCUAAUACAUGCAAGUCGAGCGAACAGACGAGGAGCUUGCUCCUCUGACGUUAGCGGUGGACGGGUGAGUAACACGUGGAUAACCUACCUAUAAGACUGGGAUAACUUCGGGAAACCGGAGCUAAUACCGGGUAAUAUAUUGAACCGCAUGGUUCAAUAGUGAAAGACGGUUUUGCUGUCACUUAUAGAUGGAUCCGCGCCGCAUUAGCUAGUUGGUAAGGUAACGGCUUACCAAGGCAACGAUGCGUAGCCGACCUGAGAGGGUGAUCGGCCACACUGGAACUGAGACACGGUCCAGACUCCUACGGGAGGCAGCAGUAGGGAAUCUUCCGCAAUGGGCGAAAGCCUGACGGAGCAACGCCGCGUGAGUGAUGAAGGUCUUCGGAUCGUAAAACUCUGUUAUUAGGGAAGAACAAAUGUGUAAGUAACUAUGCACGUCUUGACGGUACCUAAUCAGAAAGCCACGGCUAACUACGUGC
rnacentral:rRNA from 1 species